rnacentral:rRNA from 1 species
AUUGAACGCUGGCGGCGUGCCUUACACAUGCAAGUCGAACGGCAGCACGGGAGCAAUCCUGGUGGCGAGUGGCGAACGGGUGAGUAAUAUAUCGGAACGUGCCCAGUAGUGGGGGAUAGCCCGGCGAAAGCCGGAUUAAUACCGCAUACGACCUGAGGGGGAAAGCGGGGGAUCGCAAGACCUCGCGCUAUUGGAGCGGCCGAUAUCAGAUUAGCUAGGUGGUGGGGUAAAGGCCUACCAAGGCGACGAUCUGUAGCUGGUCUGAGAGGACGACCGUACACACUGGGACGGAGACACGGCCCAGACUCCUACGGGAGUCAGCAGUGGGGAAUUUUGGACAAUGGGCGCAAGCCUGAUCCAGCCAUGCCGCGUGCGGGAAGAAGGCCUUCGGGUUGUAAACCGCUUUUGUCAGGGAAGAAACGCUUCGAGCUAAUACCUUGGAGUAAUGACGGUACCUGAAGAAUAAGCACCGGCUAACUACGUGCCAGCAGCCGCGGUAACAC